rnacentral:rRNA from 1 species
UGCUUUCCAUGCAGUCGUACGAAGUGUUAAACUUUAGUGGCGGACGGGUGAGUAACAGUGAGAAUUUACCUUUAGGAGGGGAAUAACAGUUGGAAACGACUGCUAAUGCCGCAUAUCAUAACUAUGAAAGAAGAAAUUCGCCUAAAGAAAAGCUUGCGUCUGAUUAGCUAGUUGGUAAGGGUAAAGGCCUACCAAGGCGACGAUCAGUAGCUGGUUUGAGAGGACGACCAGUCACACUGGGACUGAGACACGGUCCAGACUCCUACGGGAGGCAGCAGUGGGGAAUUUUCUGCAAUGGGCGAAAGCCUGACAGAGCAAUACCGCGUGAGGGAAGAAAGCCCACAGGGUUGUAAACCUCUUUUGUCAAGGAAGAAGUUCUGACGUUACUUGACGAAUAAGCAUCGGCUAACUCCGUGCCAGCAGCCGCGGUAAGACGGGGGAUGCAAGUGUUAUCCGGAAUCACUGGGCGUAAAGCGCGCGUAGGCGGCUUUUUAAGUCAGGGGUGAAAUCCCGGAGCUCAACUCCGGAACUGCCCUUGAAACUGGAUGGCUAGAAUACUGGAGAGGUGAGUGGAAUUCCGAGUGUAGAGGUGGAAUUCGUAGAUAUUCGGAAGAACACCAGUGGCGAAGGCGACUCACUGG